CUGGCUCAGAACGAACGCUGGCGGCGCGUCUUAAGCAUGCAAGUCGAACGGCAAGAGGUAGCAAUACCUCCUAGAGUGGCGGACUGGUGAGUAACACGUGGGUGACAUACCCUUCAGAUGGGGAUAGCUAUUAGAAAUAGUAGAUAAUACCGAAUACGAGCACAGGGGGUUAGAGAUCUGUGAGGAAAGGAGCUAAGGCUCCGCUGAAGGAAUGGCCUGCGGCCCAUUAGCUAGUUGGUGAGGUAAGAGCCCACCAAGGCGAUGAUGGGUAUCCGGCCUUAGAGGGUGAACGGACACAUUGGGACUGAGAUACGGCCCAGACUCCUACGGGAGGCAGCAGCUAAGAAUAUUCCGCAAUGGACGAAAGUCUGACGGAGCGACGCCGCGUGGAUGAAGAAGGCCGGAAGGUUGUAAAAUCCUUUUGAAACUGAAGAAUAAGCGUUGUAGGGAAUGACAGCGUGGUGACAGUAGGUUUUGAAUAAGCAACGGCUAAUUACGUGCCAGCAGCGGC
rnacentral:rRNA from 1 species